rnacentral:rRNA from 1 species
AACGAACGCUGGCGGCAGGCUUAACACAUGCAAGUCGAGCGCCCCGCAAGGGGAGCGGCAGACGGGUGAGUAACGCGUGGGAAUCUACCCAUCUCUACGGAAUAACGCAUGGAAACGUGUGCUAAUACCGUAUACGUCCUUCGGGAGAAAGAUUUAUCGGAGAUGGAUGAGCCCGCGUUGGAUUAGCUAGUUGGUGGGGUAAAGGCCUACCAAGGCGACGAUCCAUAGCUGGUCUGAGAGGAUGAUCAGCUACACUGGGACUGAGACACGGCCCAGACUCCUACGGGAGGCAGCAGUGGGGAAUAUUGGACAAUGGGCGCAAGCCUGAUCCAGCCAUGCCGCGUGAGUGAUGAAGGCCCUAGGGUUGUAAAGCUCUUUCACCGGUGAAGAUAUGACGGUAACCGGAGAAGAAGCCCCGGCUAACUUCGUGCCAGCCGCCGCGGUAAGAC